UUCGUGUGCAAAGCUGACAUUCCUGUG
rnacentral:piRNA from 1 species